rnacentral:misc_RNA from 1 species
GAUGAAUAUCAUCAGUGGUAAAAAGCACGUGUUUGACGGCAUGAAUGCACAGGUUCUACACGGGUGAUCGCUCAGGGCCAAAUAGACCCUGAAAAGACUGAAUUGUAUUUAUAUUAAGUGUAGUCAUUUUGACCCGUUAUAGAUCACAACAUCGUUGUACAGUAAACCUUUUCUUUUACUUCAAGCAUGUGAAUGAUAUGACUGUGAUGUUUGGUUGGCCGAUGGUCUCUUCUGUUUCUCUUUCGAAAAAAGGAAGCGACACAAGGAAGAUCAUUUCGAUCUACACUGGUUCUUGAGCCGAUGUCAGUAUUAAACUUAUCGAAGGUUCUAUGACGAAUGUUGGAAGAUUAAAAAUCAGUAUUACUUUGUUUUGCAAUAUGCAUUCUAUUUGUUAACUUUUUGAAGAAGUAUUUCUAUAUAUUUAGAUAAUGUUACAUGACUGACUUGCUCAAAGGUUUCUUGUUCCAGAAAGUUUAUAACGUUGCAGUUUUAAAGAUUUUGAUAUAUAUGUUGUACAAUAUUAUUAUAAAGAGGUUUAUGUGUCUUUGAAGAAUGAUCAGUAUUUCUAAACGAUUUGCUCACUUUUACUGUUAAAACUUUCCUUUUUGCACUUCCCAACCUAUGGGAACUGUGUUGCAUAUUUACUGUUAAUUUUUCCUUUUGUGUUUUGGAGUAACGCCCGCAGGCGAUGAUUCUAUUUAUUAGGCUAUCCUGUGAAAGCUUUGUGUGCCAAAUUCGUUUCCGCUUUUCGUCAAAUGUUUUCUUCUCGUUGUAUCUGUGUUACACAAAUUUCAAUAAAAUGUGGAAAAGAU